UACGUAGGGUCCGAGCGUUGUCCGGAAUUACUGGGCGUAAAGAGCUUGUAGGCGGUUUGUCGCGUCUGCCGUGAAAAUUCGAGGCUCAACCUCGAACUUGCGGUGGGUACGGGCAGACUAGAGUGUGGUAGGGGAGACUGGAAUUCCUGGUGUAGCGGUGAAAUGCGCAGAUAUCAGGAGGAACACCGAUGGCGAAGGCAGGUCUCUGGGCCACUACUGACGCUGAGAAGCGAAAGCAUGGGGAGCGAACAGG
rnacentral:rRNA from 1 species